CACGCCGUAAACGAUGAGUGCUAGGUGUCGGGGGUCGAACCUCGGUGCCGCAGUUAACGCAUUAAGCACUCCGCCUGGGGAGUACGUACGCAAGUAUGAAACUCAAAGGAAUUGACGGGGACCCGCACAAGCAGCGGAGCAUGUGGUUUAAUUCGAAGCAACGCGAAGAACCUUACCUGGACUUGACAUCCCUCGGACCGUUUUUUAACCGAAACUUUCCCUUCGGGGACUGAGGUGACAGGUGG
rnacentral:rRNA from 1 species